AACGAACGCUGGCGGCAAGGCCUAAAACAUGCAAGUUGAACGGCUGUAGCAAUACAGCAGUAGCGCACGGGUGAGUAAUAUAUGGGAACAUGGUCUUUUGGUGGGGAAUAUUCUCUGGAAACGGAGAGCAAUACCGCAUAAGCCCCACGGGGAAAGAUUUAUCGCCGAUUGAGUGGCCCAUAUUGGAUUAGCUAGUGGUGGUAACGGCUGACCAAGGCGACGAUCCAUAGCUGAUCUGAGAGGAUGAUCAGCCACACUGGGACUGAGACACGGCCCAGACUCCUACGGGAGGCAGCAGUUAGGAAUAUUGGACAAUGGGGGCAACCCUGAUCCAAGCCAUGCCGCGUGAGUGUUAAGGCCUUCGGGUUGUAAAGCUCUUUUGUAUGGGAAAAUGAUGAUGGUACCAUAAGAAUAAGCACCGGCUAACUUCGUGCCAGCAGCCGC
rnacentral:rRNA from 1 species